rnacentral:rRNA from 1 species
UACGUAGGGUGCAAGCGUUGUCCGGAAUUAUUGGGCGUAAGAGCUCGUAGGCGGUCUGUUGCGUCCGCUGUGAAAACUCGGGGCUUAACCCCGAGCCUGCAGUGGAUACGGGCAGACUAGAGGUAGGUAGGGGAGAAUGGAAUUCCCGGUGUAGCGGUGAAAUGCGCAGAUAUCGGGAGGAACACCGGUGGCGAAGGCGGUUCUCUGGGCCUUACCUGACGCUGAGGAGCGAAAGCGUGGGGAGCGAACAGG